GAUGAACGCUGGCGGCGUGCCUAAUACAUGCAAGUAGAACGCUGAAGGAAGGAGCUUGCUCUUUCCAGAUGAGUUGCGAACGGGUGAGUAACGCGUAGGUAACCUGCCUGGUAGCGGGGGAUAACUAUUGGAAACGAUAGCUAAUACCGCAUAACAGUAGAUGUUGCAUGAUAUCUACUUAAAAGGUGCAAUUGCACCACUACCAGAUGGACCUGCGUUGUAUUAGCUAGUUGGUGAGGUAACGGCUCACCAAGGCGACGAUACAUAGCCGACCUGAGAGGGUGAUCGGCCACACUGGGACUGUGACACGGCCCAGACUCCUACGGGAGGCAGCAGUAGGGAAUCUUCGGCAAUGGACGGAAGUCUGACCGAGCAACGCCGCGUGAGUGAAGAAGGUUUUCGGAUCGUAAAGCUCUGUUGUAAGAGAAGAACGAGUGUGAGAGUGGAAAGUUCACACUGUGACGGUAUCUUACCAGAAAGGGACGGCUAACUACGUG
rnacentral:rRNA from 1 species